AGCGAACGCUGGCGGCAGGCCUAACACAUGCAAGUCGAACGAAGUCUUCGGACUUAGUGGCCGACGGGUGAGUAACAAGUGGGAACGUACAUUUUGGUUCGGAAUAACUGAGGGAUAAUUCAGCUAAUACCGGAUAAGCUCUUCGGAGGCAAGAUUAACCGCCAUUAGGGCGGACCGCGUUGGAUUAGGUAGUUGGUGUGGUAAAGGCGCACCAAGCCUACGAUCCAUAGCUGGUCUGAGAGGAUGGUCAGCCACACUGGGACGGAGACACGGCCCAGACUCCUACGGGAGGCAGCAGUGGGGAAUCUUGCGCAAUGGUCGAAAGACUGACGCAGCCAUGCCGCGUGAAUGAUGAAGGUCUUAGGAUUGUAAAAUUCUUUUAGCAGGGACGAUAAUGACGGUACCUGCAGAAAAAGCCCUGGCUAACUUCGUGCCAGCCGCCGCCGUAA
rnacentral:rRNA from 1 species